CAGUCGCCACGGGAAUACAGAGGGUGCGAGCGUUAAUCGGAUUUACUGGGCGUAAAGCGUGCGUAGGCGGCUUCUUAAGUCGGAUGUGAAAUCCCUGAGCUUAACUUAGGAAUUGCAUUCGAUACUGGGAAGCUAGAGUAUGGGAGAGGAUGGUAGAAUUCCAGGUGUAGCGGUGAAAUGCGUAGAGAUCUGGAGGAAUACCGAUGGCGAAGGCAGCCAUCUGGCCUAAUACUGACGCUGAGGUACGAAAGCAUGGGGAGCAAACAGGAUUAGAUACACCAGUAGUCCCUGUCUCUUAUAC
rnacentral:rRNA from 1 species